GUUGUACGAAUGGAAACGAGGACUGUGGAGUGAGUUUAGGAGGUCUGUCCGCUUCUUAUUCUGGACAAGUUUAAUCCGCAGAUACCUGCUCGUGAAGCAGCAGGAGGCUAAUUAGCUAACGUUAAGCUAGCUCGCUAAUCAGCAUCCAGGGAAGCUACUGUGGAAGCUAACUGACUAGCCAGGCAGUUGGAAAAUUAGGUCAAAACAGAAAGCUCAGGUAAAAACGACUCCCUCCCGGGAUAAAGAGCUGUUUCUUCGGGUUAACGGCCAGUUUUUUGAUACGGUACCUUGUGGAAGUCAGGCAGCCGAGGAGACCGAGCUGGCUUGAGGGGCUGAUACAGCUAGCCGAGCCGCUAGCUGGAGAGAUCCUUGGAUCCAGCUGUUUUUUUCCCUUCUGUCGCCUCGCUGUCUUGAAAAGCACAAAGACUUUGACAUAUGGGCAGCACAGAGAGGAGGGAGAGAGAGGAGGGCUCACUCUGAGCACAUUUCUCAGCACCACAUUCGCUAGGACGAAGGGAAGAACUACACUUUUACUUUUAAAAAGCACCCUGGGCUGCUGACACUGAGUCAAUCAUGAAAACCUGAGGCAUUGGGAUCUGCAGCAGAUAUUUGGCCGAGGAAUGAGGAAUAAUCCAUUCUGGAUGUUUCACGUAAAUAAGACUGUGUCACGCCCACUUUCUCAGACAAAAGUUUUCCUUCUUUGCUCCCGGUGAGUCAUCGUUUCAAUAGACGAUCUGUGAAGAGGGCCGCCGCUCAGACAGAGGAAGUGGAGCCGUUUCAUCGGUCCGUUAUCCUUAGAAU